GCUGGGGGAGGUGCUUGGAGCUCAGUUCCCUGUGCCAUAGCACAUCGGGGUCCUCACUGUGCUGUGGUUCACAGCUCAAUGCCCCCCAGGCCUCAUGGUCUCGGAGUUGGUCCCAGCAGUGAGAAAAGUGACGGAGACAGGCUGGUCACCCCGAGGCACACUCAGCCUCUGCACUGCGGAGGAGCCGUUCUCGUGCCCUUCAUCGCGAGGCAGCCUGUCUGACCACGGUCUCGCUCCCUCUCCCACCCAGGAACGAUACGGGGCGAUUCUUUGGGUGUUGCAGGGUGACGGGUGGCUCCGGGUGCUGACGAUUGCCGCCUCCCUCCGGUGGACUCGGGGGUGGUGGUGCUGUCCUCCCUUGCCUCCCCCCAAAGCCUGACUGCGUGUUGUCCUGGCCCCGAGGGAUGAUGACAUCUCCAUGCUCCGCCCACCUUGCAAGGAUUCUGGGAAGUGUCCGGGUUGGGGCCUUUGUGUCAGAAGGAAAUCGAAGCUGGCUAAUGUGUCUGUGGUGAGUGCAGAAAACCGUUUCCUGGGGCCGCUGUGUUGGAGACUUCAGAACCAUGUUUCCCAAACAAAGCCAAGUGGACUGUGGCCCAUGCAGAGGGCAGUGGCGAGACUGUGUCGCCCAUGCUCCUGUGCCAGGACUGGGCCAGCACCGAGGGCUCUGAGUCGUACUGGGGUGGCCAGACUCAGCCAGGCCACCAAUGCCAGUCUGCACCAGAGACUACCAAAGUCAGAGCCCUCUCGAGGGCCAAAACCACGAGGCGUACGGCUUAGGGAGUGUCCAGGUCUGUUCCCAGCGGGGUGGAGAGGACACUCGAGGGCUGGGGAACUGAUCUGGGGACAAGGAGGGAGGGGUGGAGUUGCAUGAAAAGAGACAACAGGAAAGGGAAGAAGAAAAGGAGGUGGGGAGGGGGAGGAGACCACAGCGGCCCCCAGACUCCCCAGGUCCUCCCUUCUCUCGGAUUCCCAGGUUCCCCACCCCCUCUGUGUCAGCCCAAGUCCCACCUGGGCUUUGUCUGUGGGACAAGUCACAGCCACCGCAUGGCUUUGGGAGGUGCAGUGUGGCUGUGGGAGGAGGCGGUCUGGGGUGCCCACGGGAGGCUGGUGGGGGGCACCCAUGUACACACCUGUGGCUUUUCUCUUCGGCAGCUCAGGGGGCUGUGUCCCCACUGUGGCACUGGGUGCUGGCCAGGGCACUGCCCCGGGCACUGACGGUCAGCCCCCUGUGCUGCUGGCGUGUCUCUAGCACCGUCCCCUGUGGAAGCGUGGUUUCUGGCCAGCAGCAGCAGCAGCAGCAUCUAUGGCAUCUCUGUCCCCACACACAGCACACGGCCCCUCCUGGCUAGGGUCGUGCAGAAAGCCUGGUGCACAGAGGCCCUGCGUGGUCCAAGCGCACACCGUCAUCCCUGAGGUGCCUGGGGACUCACUCGGUGCUUUGGAGCAGCAGGUGUGAAAAAGAGGCCCGGAACGCGGCGAGGAGCGGGCCGCAGGGUCCCGGGCUGACGUCCCCGGUGCCCGGAGCAUCAGAACUCAUUUAUGCACACGCAGCCACGUCAUAAACUAUUUAAACGACUGUAGCAUUCUCCAUAUUUUAUUUUUUCCUUUUGGAGCUUAUGACAAAUAACUCGGAUUUCAUGAAAUAUAUAUUUUAAAUGUCUUUGCCCACCAAAAGAGCAAUUCCCUAGCAUGUUAAUUAGACUGGGGAGAUGAAAUUGAGGCUCGGGAGCAUAUUUGUA